rfam:Mus musculus chromosome 16, GRC primary reference assembly.
UCCCCCUGGGGAUGGGCAAAGAGAACCUUUGUUGUUGGUGGUGUUCUAACAUCAGUCAGGGGCAGGGCAGAUGGUGGUCCUUUGUUCAUUCUAGCUUCAUAUCUGGCUUGGUGGACAAAGCUGUCUUAUGCCUAGGACUCAUAA